rfam:Ictidomys tridecemlineatus contig016401, whole genome shotgun sequence.
GUGGCUGUGGCUCAGUGGUAGAGCACUUGCCUAGCACAUGUGAGGCACUGAGUUCGAUCCUCAGCACCACA